rnacentral:rRNA from 1 species
UACAGGGGGGGCAAGCGUUGUUCGGAAUUACUGGGCGUAAAGGGCCAGUAGGCGGCCAACUAAGUCACACGUGAAAUCCCCAGGCUUAACCUGGGAACUGCGUGUGAUACUGGAUGGCUUGAAUUCGGGAGAGGGAUGCAGAAUUCCAGGUGUAGCGGUGAAAUGCGUAGAUAUCAGGAAGAACACCCGUGGCGAAGGCGGCUCUCUGGUACGUGACUGACGCUGAGACGCGAAAGCGUGGGGAGCAAACAGG